rnacentral:rRNA from 1 species
CUCAGGACGAACGCUGGCGGCGUGCCUAAUACAUGCAAGUCGAGCGGAUCUUGUUUGCAGCUUGCUGCAAACUUGGUUAGCGGCGGACGGGUGAGUAACACGUAGGCAACCUGCCCUUCAGACCGGGAUAACAUUCGGAAACGAAUGCUAAGACCGGAUAGGCAGCGAGAUCGCAUGGUCUUGCUGAGAAACACGGUGCAAGCUGUGGCUGAAGGAUGGGCCUGCGGCGCAUUAGCUAGUUGGUGGGGUAACGGCUCACCAAGGCGACGAUGCGUAGCCGACCUGAGAGGGUGAACGGCCACACUGGGACUGAGACACGGCCCAGACUCCUACGGGAGGCAGCAGUAGGGAAUCUUCCACAAUGGGCGCAAGCCUGAUGGAGCAACGCCGCGUGAGUGAGGAAGGCUUUCGGGUCGUAAAGCUCUGUUGCCAGGGAAGAAUAAGGGUGAGGUAACUACUCAUUCGAUGACGGUACCUGAGAAGAAAGCCCCGGCUAACUACGUGCCAGCAGCCGCGGUAAUACGUAGGGGGCAAGCGUUGUCCGGAAUUAUUGGGCGUAAAGCGCGCGCAGGCGGUUUUUUAAGUCUGGUGUCUAAGUGCGGGGCUCAACCCCGUGAUGCACUGGAAACUGGGAGACUUGAGUGCAGAAGAGGAGAGCGGAAUUCCACGUGUAGCGGUGAAAUGCGUAGAGAUGUGGAGGAACACCAGUGGCGAAGGCGGCUCUCUNGACUGUAACNG